rnacentral:rRNA from 1 species
UCUGUGCAAAGUGAGCAUAAUCAAUUGGCUUUUAAUUGGAGUCUAGUAUGAAUGGGGGAAAUGGGGAUUUAUUGUCUCUUAGUAAUUAUAAUGAAUUUAAUUAAAAGGUGAAAAUCCCUUUAAUUUUAGAUAAUAGACGAGAAGACCCUUAGAGUUUAAUAAUAUUAAUUUGUGUAAUUGAUUUAUUUUUGCUGGGGCGGCAAAGGAACACUUAAACUUCCUUAUAUUAUUUAAGUGUAUGGCGAUAUUGUUAAGUUUAGUUAAGCUACCUAAGGGAUAACAGCAUAAUUUAUACUUAAGUUUGUGACCUCGAUGUUGGACUAGGAUUUUUAUGGCUAGUAGUCAAAAUAAACUGUUCUGUUCGAACAUCAACUCCUACAUGAUCUGAGUUCAAAUCGA